CAGCCUGGGUGCAGACAUCAGCCCAAUGGCACAGGGAUCCGCUCCUCACCGUGCUUUGAGGUCAGGACUUUCCCUCUUUGGCGGUGAUGGCUCUGUUUGCACAACACAGCAGAAACACGUGCAUGUCUGUAAACAUCACUGACUCCUGGAACAACUCUGCUCUGGCUCUUCUUGACUAUGAAGUUUCAUAACUACCAUGCAGCUUCCUCACUUGAACCUGAAGGCCACGAUGAUUUCCUUCAGAACACGGGUGGAGAACUCACAUCUCUUCAGUGCUCACAGUGCAGGCAUUGAAUGGCACGGAGAAAAAGGGUUGAUCGUUGUGCUGCCAUUCAGUGCAAUAUGAGUAGACUGGAGAAAUGAGCCAACAGGAACCUCAUGAAGCUCCACCACAGGAAAUGCCAAGUCUUGCCUCUGGGGAGGCCCCCUACACUCCCUGUCCCUCACAAGUAACAGGAAGCAGUAAGCUCAGGAA
ensembl:lncRNA